GCUUGUCUCAAAGAUUAAGCCAUGCAUGUCUAAGUGUAAAUAAGUCUAUACUGUGAAACUGCGAAUGGCUCAUUAAAUCAGUUAUCGUUUAUUUGAUGGUCCCUUACUACAUGGAUAACCGUAGUAAUUCUAGAGCUAAUACAUGCACAAAGGCCCGACUCACGAAGGGCUGUAUUUAUUAGAUUUAAAGCCGACAUCUUUUGGUGAUUCAUAAUAACUUUUCGAACCUCAUGCCUUUAUGGUGGAGGUGAUUCAUUCAAAUUUCUGCCCUAUCAACUUUCGACGGUAGGAUAGAGGCCUACUGUGGUGAUAACGGGUAACGAAGAAUAAGGGUUCGAUUUCGGAGAGGGAGCCUGAGAAACGGCUACCACAUCCAAGGAAGGCAGCAGG
rnacentral:rRNA from 1 species